rnacentral:rRNA from 1 species
GAUGAACGCUGGCGGCGUGCCUAAUACAUGCAAGUCGAGCGAACAGACGAGGAGCUUGCUCCUUUGACGUUAGCGGCGGACGGGUGAGUAACACGUAGGUAACCUACCUAUAAGACUGGGAUAACUUCGGGAAACCGGAGCUAAUACCGGAUAAUAUUUUGAACCGCAUGGUUCGAUAGUGAAAGACGGCUUUGCUAUCACUUAUAGAUGGACCUGCGCCGUAUUAGCUAGUUGGUAAGGUAACGGCUUACCAAGGCAACGAUACGUAGCCGACCUGAGAGGGUGAUCGGCCACACUGGAACUGAGACACGGUCCAGACUCCUACGGGAGGCAGCAGUAGGGAAUCUUCCGCAAUGGGCGAAAGCCUGACGGAGCAACGCCGCGUGAGUGAUGAAGGUCUUCGGAUCGUAAAACUCUGUUAUUAGGGAAGAACAAACGUGUAAGUAACUGUGCACGUCUUGACGGUACCUAAUCAGAAAGCCACGGCUAACUACGUG